GCAGCAGGAAACAUAAUUAACAACAAAAACAACAACAAACGAAGCGCACCGAAGCACCGUGGCGGCCAUCAACGGCGCCAACGUGCAUGAAAACAACGUUCUGCCUGAGGUAUGUCUCCUAAAGUUAUUAUACCUCAGAACUAAUACGUGUUAACGAGGAAUACACUCAAAUCGGUUUGAAGCACAGAACGUAAAAAACAAACAAACAAACAAAACAGAAAAACAGAAGUCAAAAACGUGUAACUUAUCAUAAUCACCUUCAAUUUCAUCCUGGUUUUCUUUUGCUGUAACUUCAAAAGGCUUUUUCCAGAUUAGUGUCUGGAUGGACAAACAAUGUGCUGGAUUGAUGAGCAGCACGUUUCUCCUUCAAUGAACUGAACCUUUGCUUUCAUUCUUAAGUGGAAUACGGACUGCAGCCCAUCACACCAGUUUAACAUGAAGAUGAGAAGGACGAGCACCCUGGACAGCGCCUCAAGAGAUCAGCACCAAGGUCUGGGGCACCGACGAGCCAGAGGUCAGGAAGGGGACUGAAGGCCGAACAGCCUGUUGAACCGAGCCCUCAAAAGAGGAAGAACCUAUUUUGCCCUUUUCCCUUUUUUUGUAUGUCAAAAUAAACCGUACCCUUUU